AUACGUAGGGAGCGAGCGUUGUCCGGAAUUACUGGGUGUAAAGGGAGCGUAGGCGGGAUGGCAAGUUGGAUGUUUAAACUAACGGCUCAACUGUUAGGUGCAUCCAAAACUGCUGUUCUUGAGUGAAGUAGAGGCAGGCGGAAUUACUAGUGGAGCGGGGAAAUGCGUAGAUAUUAGGAUGAAAACCAGUGGCGAAGGCGGCCUGCUGGGCUUUAACUGACGCUGAGGCUCGAAAGCGUGGGGAGCAAACAGGAUUAGAUACCCUGGUAGUCCACGCUGUAAACGAUGAUUACUAGGUGUGGGGGGACUGACUCCUUCCGUGCCGCAGUUAACACAAUAAGUAAUCCACCUGGGGAGUACGGCCGCAAGGUUGAAACUCAAAUGAAUUGACGGGG
rnacentral:rRNA from 1 species